rnacentral:rRNA from 1 species
GACGAACGCUGGCGGCGUGCUUAACACAUGCAAGUCGAACGGAAAGGCCCUGCUUUUGUGGGGUGCUCGAGUGGCGAACGGGUGAGUAACACGUGAGUAACCUGCCCUUGACUUUGGGAUAACUUCAGGAAACUGGGGCUAAUACCGGAUAGGAGCUCCUGCUGCAUGGUGGGGGUUGGAAAGUUUCGGCGGUUGGGGAUGGACUCGCGGCUUAUCAGCUUGUUGGUGGGGUAGUGGCUUACCAAGGCUUUGACGGGUAGCCGGCCUGAGAGGGGGACCGGCCACAUGGGGACUGAGAUAGGGCCCAGACGCCGACGGGAGGCAGCGGGGGGGAAUAUUGCGCAGUGGGCGGAAGCCUGAUGCAGCAACGCCGGGUGCGGGAUGACGGCCUUCGGGGUGUAAACCGCUUUCGCCUGUGACGAAGCGUGAGUGACGGUAAUGGGUAAAGAAGCACCGGCUAACUACGUG